GGCUACCUUGUUACGACUUCACCCCAGUUACCGGACCUGCCUUCGGCGGCUCCCUCUUCUCAGUUGGGUCACCGACUUCGGGCAUUUCCGACUCCCAUGGUGUGACGGGCGGUGUGUACAAGACCCGGGAACGUAUUCACCGCGGCAUUCUGAUCCGCGAUUACUAGCGAUUCCGGCUUCAUGCAGCCGAGUUGCAGGCUGCAAUCCGAACUGAGGCGUUAUUUUUGGGCUUUGCUUAACAUCGCUGUCUCGCUUCCCUCUGUUUACGCCAUUGUAGCACGUGUGUAGCCCUGGCCAUAAGGGGCAUGAUGAUUUGACGUCAUCCCCGCCUUCCUCCUGGUUAUCCCAGGCUGUCCCAUCAGAGUGCCCAGCUUUACCUGCUGGCUACUGACGGCAGGGGUUGCGCUCGUUGCGGGACUUAACCCAACAUCUCACGACACGAGCUGACGACAACCAUGCACCACCUGUCUCCAAUGCCCCGAAGGGCGGCAGACAUUACUCUGCUUU
rnacentral:rRNA from 1 species